CUCGCGGACCGGCUUUUCCGCCCUGACCGUGCUCCUGAUGCCUCCCGGCCGCCGUAGGCGAAGGUUCGCGGAAGCGGCGAGCAGGCGCUCACCUGAGCUGACUCAGAAAUUGGGAUGAUUUCUCUGUGGAUCCUAUAAGGAGCCUGGAGAUGGUGAAGAGAAUGCCUUUGACCAUCAGGAGACAGCUUACCUGAUUGAAUCUUGAUCACUUCUUCUGACCACUUUGGAUAUUAAAAGAACAAGUCAACAGACACAGAUGGACAGACCCUGGGUAAAGCACAGGACAUCCAGAGACCAACAAACCACAGUUCCUGCCUCAUCCAGCUACAGUGUCCCGAGGAAAGCAGAAUCUCAAGUCUUCAAAAGCCUACAGGUAUCCUGUGGCUCAGGGAGUCUACAGAAGUACUUUUUCAUGGUGUGGUGGACAACAGCCAAAGCAGACCAUAAGGACAG